GUGCUCACUUCGGCAGCACAUAUACUAAAAUCGGAACGAUACAGAGAAGGUUAGCAUGGCCCCUGCACAAGGAUGACACGCAAAUUUGUGAAGCGUUCCAUAUUUUU
rnacentral:snRNA from 1 species